UCUACAUAACUGUAUUUUAUUUUUUAAUGAAAAAACAGAAAGUAUAAUGCUAAAAAAUUAAUUUAAAAAAGAGUCCUACGUUGGGUUCGAACACGCACUACUGGGUAAAACCCAAUCAUCUCAACCACUUACACAAUCAACUCACUUGGUAGUGUGGGUGACAAGCAUAAUAAUUAUACGUUAACUGAUACAUAUAUACAAAUAUACACAUAAAUAUACAGGGUUUCAAUCGAGAAGUGCGGGUGCCGUGACACCCCAAUCCACUUACAUAGAUCCGUCCCUGCCCGUAAACAGGGGCGGAUCUACAUGGGGUUCACGGAUGGCAUGGCACCCGCAAACUUCGAUCGGAUAACUGUGUGUAUAUAUAUAUAUAUAUAUAUAUAUAUAUUGAAUAAAACUGGUAUAUUAUUUAAGUGCCACCCGGUGCAGCAGUUGAGAAAGUAGUGCCAGUGGCAAACGCGCUGAAAUUUCACAUAGUAUACUAGAGUUCAAGUCUAGACGCCAGCAGUAUUUUGUUACUUUUUUGUUCGUUCUUCUAUUUUCUAUAAGUUUUUUUCCUCUUGACUUAAUCUUUGUUUGACUCCUUUUUUUUUUGGGUAAUCUUUGUUUAAGAAUUUUUAACUUAAGUGUAGAACAUAAUUGAAGAUUCCUUCUUCCUUCAAAUUUAUAGUUAACCUCUCCUCGUAAAUCAUAAUAAUGAUGCUUGGCAUGAUGUUAUAAUUUCUUAACAAUAGAAUUGGAAAUAUCCAUUGAAUGUUGGCAACUAUUUUGUCUGACAACUAUUUUGUACUUUUACGUUGACUGAUAAGUUAAAUUUAACUCUUGUUUACACAAUUUAUAGUAAUAACAACAACAACGAUAACAAACCCAGUGUAUUCCCACAUAGUGGGUUCUGAGGAGGGUAAAAUGUAUGCAGUCCAUACACUACCUCCGGAAAAGUAGAAAGGUUGUUUUCAAUAGUAUUUAUAAGAAUAAUCACAUUUUUAUUAUUUGAUCUAUUUGUCUAUACAAAUUGAAAAGAUAAAUAAUCAAAUCGAAACCCAAAGUCUAUAAAAUCGACAAAAUAUUCAUCUUAUUUGGAGCAGUGUAAAUAGCAAAGCGUAAAGCAAAAAAUUAAUUGAUUUCCAGCUGAAUACGUAAAAAUUAGGUUCUUCGAUAAUGUUUCUAUGAAAUUUUCCUUCAAAAAUUUCUUACUAACAAGCCAAAUUCCAAUGGCACGCCCAUAAAAAAUAUCAUUUUUGAGUAAUAGCUUUAACGUUAAAAGUGACAUGGCACCCGCAACCUUAAAAUCCUAGAUCCGCCUCUGCCCGUAAACAUGGAUGAAGGGAUUGUUUUAUAUUUUGUGUGCUACUUAAUGAACAAAAGAUGAACAGAUCAGUGACAACGACACAAAACCAAAUCAUGUAACUUCAAAUCCAAUUAUAAGAACCUUUUUUUUAAUUAUUCAAACUAGAGUAUUUCUUUUUUCCUUCUUGAAAUUAAAAUGGUCAUAUUAUAGUCCAAAUUAAAAUAGCCCCAGUAAAAUUAAGUAUAUAUCCUUCAUGUACUGCAUGUUGUAUUCUUCAACUGAGCCUCAAAUGACUUGUUAACUUUUUGACAAGUUUGACUACACAUGACCUCAUUAUAUCCCUAAAAAAUAAAAAUGCAUGGUUGAUUUGAUUUCCAAAGAAACUAGAGGGGUUACAACAACAAUAUACGAAGUAUAAUCUCAUAAGUGAGAUAUGGAAAGGACGGUGUAUGCAAAUCUUACUCCUAUAAAGAGGUUGUUUUUAAUAUAUUCUCGACUAAAAUAGAAGGAUUGAAACCAAAAAUAGAAAAAGAAACGCGAUUUGUCCGCUUUUAAUUAGAGGAGAAAUUGUGAAAUUCUUCAUAGAAAGUGUUGUAUUGGGCAGACAAUCCGUAUGUUUAUAUACUACACUUCAAUCCAAGUUCAAGAAUGUUUCAAGAAUAACAAUGAAGUUUUUAACACCUUCAACACAAGUUCAACAUGAACUAUCAAAAAAGUAUGUUAUCUAAAAGAAAUAAGAUGAAGUAGAAACAUAAUCAAGUCCUCCGAUUCACGGAGUAUCCUUAAGGAAUUAAUUCCCCUUAAGUAUCUGAGGUUGCGAAAUUUUUCCUCCAAGAAUAAAAUGGCUCACAAUCUGAAUGUAGCGGUACCUCAAACCUUCAGAUUCUUCGACACACUCAACGACUGAUGAUCACAAAGAUUUUUUGAAAGUAGAAGAGUGUUUUUCAAUACUGAAAAUUUCGUACAUACUUGAGGAAAAAGUUCAGGUAUUUAUAGCCAUCAAGUGCCCCUUCGGAAAGGAAGCAAUGGUUCAUGGAAAGGUGUAUCACUUUGGGACAGUCAUGUCUGUCCAUUUUGAAACAGUGUGUCUUUUCUGAACAGUCAUGUUAGAUCGAACAAUCACCCCUUUUUCAAAAUAGUUUGUCAUUUUCUCGAAAGGUUGCAUCCCUUUCGAGGUGCGUUUCUGCAUGCAUAUUCAUGGAGAAAAUAUUUUUCGUUGGAUUUUUGGAUUAAAAAUUUUACUUAUUUUUUCAAGUUUCAAAUGAAUUUUAUCUAUUUUCCAAAUUCAAAUCCAAAUUUGAAGCCGAAGCCAAAGCCGAGUCGAGCGAUCGAUGACGACAAUAAUGCGAGACACCUCUUGGUUCUUGCCCCACUAUCCACUUGAAGGAGUGUUUCUUAAUAAAAACACAAUAAAGUUAUUUUCUCCCACCAAUAUGGGAGAAGUAGACUUUCCUUUAGUGAGUACACUUUUCGUUUAAGUGUGAGUUCACUUUUCCUCCAAAAAUUCCCUCAAUUUUCCACUCACACAUCGUAUUGAACCCAACAAUCCCCCAUAUGAAUGGGAAAUGACUAUUCUUUAUAAAAUUUUAUGAAAAACUAUGUGAUCUGCAAGCAAAGACUGAUUGCAUCUGGAUAAGUGGGUUUCCCUUUGAACUUUCUGUAGUGAACAUGGAUCGAAUACACUCGGUCAAUCGGUAGAUUUGAUAUACUUGAACCGGAGAACUUUAGCGUACACCUAGACAACACAUGUCACACAACCAGCCUUUUACCAUUUAUGGUUCUCACGAUUUUGUUUGUUUCAGCCAUGAACACGACUUGAUUUUAUGAGAGCGUAUAGAAUAGGCCUUUACUAACAUUCUCGUUGAAGCGGCUUCCACUCACCCUCACAUAGGUAUUUCUAAACGUUCAAUCCUAUAGAUUAAACUAUUUGGUCAAAUCUGUCAAAUCUAGAUAAUCAUUAAAAAGCUUCACAUCAUAAGUCUUAUCCUUGUUUAUUAAACAUUGUCUACAUCAUGAGAAUGAGUUGGGUAUACUGACAAUGUUGAACCAUCAGUCAUAACUUUGUUUGAUCUCCUUGAACCUAGCUCUUGGGAUCUCCAGUCUGCUAGGUAGAUUUACCGUCAUGCUGACUUGUCCUAGGCCGUAAACCCAUUCCCUUCGAUGUUCUCUCAACUCCUUCUCUAGAUAGGCCUUUUGUAAGUGGAUCCGACACAUUAUCCUUUGACUUCACAUAGUCAACAGUGAUAAUUCCACUAAAGAGAAGUUCUCUAAUGGUAUUAUGUCUCUAUCUUAUAUGACGAGAUUUAUCGUUAUACAUCAUGCCCCUGUCUUACCUAUCGCGCUUGGCUAUCAUAGUGUAUACAUACUGGUGCUAAUGGCUUAGCCAAUAAGAAAUAUCUUCCAAGAAAUUCUGGAGCCAUUCAACUUCUUCACCUGCUUUAUCUAAUGCGAUAAAUUCAGAUUUCAUUGUAGAGCGAAUAAUACAUGUCUUUUUGGACUAUUUUCAAGAGACUGCUCUACCAUAUACAGUAAAUACAUAUCCACCAGUGGAUUUACUUCAUUCGAUCUGAUGAUCCAUUCGAAUAAUACAUGUUUUUUUGGAUGAUUUUCAAGAGACUGCUCCUCCAUCUACAGUAAAUACAUAUCCACCCGUGGAUUUACUUCAUUCAAUCUGAUGAUCCAAUUUGCAUCACUAUAUAUUUUCAUUACCACUGGAUAUUUAUUACAAUGCAAAGCAUAGUCUUGAGUGUAUUUAAGAUACCCCAAAACUCUUUUUAUUGUCAUCCAAUGAGUUUUAUUAGGAUUACUCAUGUACCGACUCAACUUACAAUAACACAUACUAUGUCUGGACGUGUACAAUUUACGAUACACAUUAAACAUCCCAACACUCUUGCAUAGUUCAACUGUGAGUCACUUUCACCUUUAUUCUUUUGAAGUGCAAAGCUCACGUCCAAUGGAGUCUUGGUAAUACCAAAAAUCCAAAUACUUGAACUUGUCAAGUACCUUUUCAAUAUAAUGAGAUUAUAACAAUGCCAGCCUGUGUGGAGUCUUAUGGAUUCUUAUUCCUAAGAUCACAUCCGCAAUUUCAAGGUCUUUCAUAUCAAACUUUCCCCCAAGCAUUCGUUUCGUAGCAUUUAUGUAAGAAAUGUCUCUACUGAUGAUCAACAUGUCAUUCACAUACAAACAAACAAUGACCUUGUGAUUUGGAGUGUCUUUAAUGUAAACACAUUUAUCACAUUUGUUUAUCUUAAACCGUUUGCCAAUCUGGUUUGGUCAAACUUUGCAUGCCACUAUUUGAGUGCUUGUUGUAGUCCAUAAAAUGACUUAACAAGUCUGUACACCUUCUUUUCUUUAUCAAAAAUCACAAAAUCCUCGGGUUGUUCCAUGUAAAUUUCUUUCUCCAAUUCUCAUUUAGGAAUAUUAUUUUCACAUUCAUUUGAUGGAUUUCAAGACCAUAUACUGCCACCAAGGCAAUUAACAUCCGUAUUGGCGAUAUCCUUGUUACAGACGAGUAUGUAUCAAAGUAAUCAAGGUUUUUCUUUCGUUUGAAGCCUUUUACUACAAGUCUUGCCUUGUAUUUGUCAAUAGUACCACCUGCUUUCGUUUUUCUUUUGAAGAUCCAUUUAGAAUCUAAAGGUUUAUUUUCUGGAGAAAUAUCAACCAACUCUCAAGUAUGGUUGUUCAAGAUUGAUUCAAUCUUACUAUUGACUGCCUCUUUAAAAAAGGAUGAGUCUGAAAACGACAUCGCUUUUUUAAAUGUUUGAGGCUUAUUUUCUACGAGGAAUGAUACAAAAUUCGAUCCAAAUAAAGUUGACGUUCUUUGAUGUGUACUACGUCUUGGAUUCUCAUCAUUAUGUACAUCCUCGCUUGAUUCAUUUCGAGGUCGUUUAGACCUUCCAAUAUACUGUUCAUGUCUAGUUUAUAUGGAUAAAUGUGUUCAAAGAACUCAACAUUAUCUGAUUAAAUUACUGUAUUUUCGUUGAUAUUCAAAUGUUUGAAUUUAUGAAUAAAAAAUCGACAUGCUUUACUACUUUUAUCAUAUCCUAUAAACACGCAGUUCACUGUCUUAGGUCCUAUUUUUACCUUUUUAGGCAUAGAAAUUUGGACUUUUGCUAGACACCUCCACACUUUAAAAUAUUUCAAGUUGGAUUUUCUUCUUUUCCAUUUGCAUAUAGAAUUGAUAGUAUCUUACUGUGGGUCACUCUAUUGAGUAUUCAGUUAACUAUAAGGAUAGCCUCCCCCACAAGUUUUGCAGUAAAUCUGAACUUAUAAAUAAGACAUUCAUCAUUUUCUUUAAGGUUUGAUUUUUUCUUUCCGCAAUUCCAUUAGAUUGAGGUGAAUAUGAGGCUGUAGUUUGAUGGACAAUUUCAUUUUCUACACAAAUUUCUGCAAAGGGAGAUUCAUAUUCUCCACCCCUAUCACUUCUUAUUGUUUUGAUCUUUUUCUUUAACUGAUUUUCAACUUCUAUUUUAUAUUUCCUAAACGCAUCUAUUGAUUCAUCCUUACUGUUUAGCAAAUAGACAUAACAAUACCUAGUGCAAUCAUUAAUAAAAGUUAUAAAAUAUUUUUUCACAUCACGAGAUAGUAUUAACUUCAUAUCACAAAUGUCAGUGUAGAUUAAGUCUAAGGGAUUGGAAUUCCUUUCAACGGACUUAUAUGGAUGCUUAGCAUACUUAGAUUCCACACAUGUUUGACAUUUUGAUUUAUUGCUCUCAAAGUUUGGCAAAACUUCUAAGUUAAUCAGUUUUCUCAAAGUUUUGUGAUUGACAUGUCCUAAUCAUUUGUGCCACAAUUCAUUAGUCUCAAGCAAGUAAGAAGAAAUAGAACUUUUCUUAAUUUCAACUGUCACUACAUUCAUCUUAAAUAGGCCCUCGGUGAGGUAGCCUUUUUCUACGUACACUUUCUUUUUACUAAGUACAAUCAUGCCUGAAACAAAUACACAUCUGAAUUCAUUUUUGUCAAGAAGUGAUACGAAAAUCAAGUUCUUUCUCAACUCCGGCACUUAAAGGACGUUGUUGAGAGUUAACACUUUGCCUGAUGUUAUUUUCUGGUAAAUUUUUCCUGUCCCUUCAACUUUUGUAGUUGUGAAGUUUGACAUAUAGAUAUUCUCUUCGCCAUGAGCCGGAGUGAAUAUAGCAAACAAUUAUUUAUUGAUACAAACGUGACGGGUGAAAUCGAAAUCCAUCCACUAUUCUCGAGGAUUUCCCACCAAGUUAUAUUCAGAAAGCAUGACACGUAGAUCGUCCAUUUCAUUCUUGGAUUCAGCCAUAUUCGCUUGAUUCUUCUUUUUGACUUUCUUUGGGGCACGACAAUCUGUUGACUUGUGGCCAAUCUUGCCACAAUUAAAGCAUUUCCCUUGAAUUUCUUCUUAGGUUGAUUUUGUUGUCCAGCUUUCUUCCGCUUGUUCGAGUUGUUGGGAUCGUCUUCUGUAAUGUUAGCUCCACUCAUCACAGAAUUUCCUUUUGACCUCGUCUCUGCGGCUUUUUUGUCUUCCUUAAUGCGCAACCUCAUAAUGAGGUCUUCAACUGUCAUCUCCUUCCUUUUGUGUUUCAAGUAAUUUUGGAAGUCCUUCCACAAAGGUGGCAACUUCUCUAUUAUUGCAGCAACUUGAAAGGCCUCAUUCACAACUAAACCUACAAUAAAGUUCAUGUGAACAUUAAGAACAUUUUUAACAUGUUCAAAUAAGGUAUUCACCAUAUUCAUACCUUCAGCAUGGAGAUCGUGGAUGAUAACUUGCAAUUUCUGUACAAAAAAGUUGCAACAUAGAACUUCUUAGUUUUAGCAUCCUCAGUCAUAUAUUUUAUUUCCAGCGCAUUCCACAACUUUUUUGAUGUCUUCAUUCAACUGUAAACGUUGUAUAAAUUGUCUUGGAGGCCACUUAGGAUAUAAUUCCUACAUAAGAAAUCAGAAUGUUUCCAUGCCUCCAUUACAACGAACUACUCGUUCUCCGAUGUUUUUGUGGACAAUUCUGGAGCAUUCAGAUAUAAAUCUUUGAAGUCACAAGGUUUUCAGAUAGAAGAACAUCUUCUGUUGCCACCGUUUAAAAUCUAUUUCAGAAAAUUUUCUAGGCUUUUUCGCUGGUGCCAUAGCGGGUGGCGCAGUUGUGCGACUUGUCAUAACAAUAUUCUUGCUGCUACACAUGUCCUAUUAUCAGUUACAUGACCAUCAGCAGUCAUUUUUCCUGUCACAACAAGACAGAAAACUUUAGUACAUCAAAAUACUAAUUACAAGUUUGUAACAACUUUAAACAGUAUUUAUUUCUAGUUUAGCGAUGAAAUUUUUAUGUCUUCUAAUCGUUAAUCUAUUUAUCAUAAAGAGAUUCAUCGUUCUUGAUCCUAGUUCACCUUAAUUGUUAUUUGAACAAGUAAAAGUUCUGUCUUGGUCCGAGUGGGGAUAACAUUUCUCUUCUGCAUGUCCAUGGAGUUUUGAAAAAUCCAAACAUGGGUCGUAGUUCGGUAGGAAGAACUGGUUGUAGACAUAAAAUAAGGGGCACUCCGGCUUUUUGUCCUCCAUGCUCCUUCAUAGAGAGUGAAAUCGUUCCAGUUGGAUACCUUUAAUUUGUGAUGAAGUUUUUAUUUUUUCAAAUAACUUGUUAAGUUCAAACAGAGUAGAAAAUGUAAAACUUUAAUCUCUAUAAACUAAACAAUACAGAUUACAGAUUAAUUCCUUAAGAUUGUUGUAUCGGGUACACAAUCUGUAUGUUUAUUACACACUACACUUCAACACAAGUUCAAGAAUAUUUCAAGAACAACAAUGAAGUUUUUAACACCUUAAACACAAGUUCAACAUAAACCAUCAAAGAAGUAUGUUAUCUAAAAGAAAUAAGAUGAAGUAGAAACAGAACCAAGUCUUCCGAUUUCACGGAGUGUACUUAAGGAAUUAAUUCCCCUCAGGUACCCGAGGUUGCAGAAUUUUUCAUCCCAGGAUAAAAUGGCUCACAAUCUGAAUGUAGCAGUACCUCAAACCUUCAGAUUCUCCAAACACACUCAACGACUGAUGAUCACAAAGAGUUUUUCGAAGUAGAAGAGUGUUUUUCAAUACUGAAAAUUUCGUAGAUUCUUGAGGAAAAAUUCAGGUAUUUAUAGUCAUCAAGUGUUCCUUCGGAAAUGAAGCAAUGGUUCAUGGAAAUGUGUAUCACUUCAGAACAGUCAUGUUCGAUCGAACAGCCACCCUUUUUUCAAAAUAAUGUGUCAUUUACUCGAAGAAUUGUGUCCCUUUCGAGGUACGUUUUUGUGUUUCUGCAUGCAUGUUCAUGGAGAAAAUAUUUUUCGUUGAAUUUUUUGAUUAAAAAUUUUACUUUUUUCCUAAGGUUUAAAUAAACUUUGUCUAAAAAAUUAAUCUUAUCGAUUCGAAGCCGAGCGAGCAACGACGACAGCGCGAGGCACCUCUUAGUUCUUGCCUCACUAUCCACUUGAAGGAGUGUUUCUUAAUAAAAACACAAUAAAGCUGUUUUCUCCCACCAAUGUGGGAGAAAUACACUUUCCUUUAGUGAGUACACUUUUCUUUUUUGUGUGAGCUCACUUAUACUUUUCUUUUUUGUGUGAGCUCACUUUCCCUCCAAGAAUUUCCUCUAUUUUCCAUUAACACAUCCUAUUGAACCCAACAGAAAGUGCAUCUUCUUGAAUGAUUUUACGUGAAAUAAAUUUAAAUUAAUCGAGAUAGUAAAUUUUGGAUAGCCAAUAGUUAUAAAAAUAGAAGUGUGGCUGAAAUAAUAGACAUGAAUGAAAAGGAGUGGAGAAGUACAAAAAAAAGUCUAAUAUUAGUGCCAUCAGGCAUAUGCACAUAGCUUUUUGGUGCUUUUGUCAUCCUUAACUAUAUAUAGACUAUAGUACAAGUAAUUAUUAUGGGCGGUAUCUAAAAUAAAGAAUUUUCUCUCUACUUUUUAGUUCCUUUUUCUUGUUUCUACUUUUGGGAGUGUAAGGUAAUUCUUCCUAUAUAUGUGUACAGAGGUCUUGGUGUAUAUUGUUGUUGGGAGGUGACAGAUAUUUCGUGAAACUAGUCGAGGUUAGUAAAAGCUGACUCGAACAUCACAUUCAUCUUAAAAAAAUUGUACUCUACUCUUCAUAUACUAGGACCUAAAUUAUAAAUUUUAGUGAACACUGACAAUUUAUACACUUAGGCAUAGUUUGGCCAUGAAAAUUAUAAUUUUUUGGAGUUGGAGUUGAAAUUUGUUAGUUUUUUUUUUUUAAAAGAUGGGGCAGUGAAAACAGGGUUAAAAUGACUCUCUUUGAAUUGAAAUGACUUUCAAGCUUUCAAUGAGCUUUCAACAGCUUUCAAUAAUUUUAUUAAGCAUUGAGGGGCUUUAAAUAACCAACAUAAAAUAAAAAUCUGCAUAAUUUGAAAUUUAAAACAACCUAAAUUAUUUCAACAACUAACCAAACUAACAAAUAUUUAAAAUUCAAAUUCAUCUUAAUCUAAACAACUUAUUUUGCUAAAAACUAGUGCAGUAACUUAAAGCAAUUUCCAACACUCCUCCUUUACUUUAGUUACUGUGAUUUAAAAACUGCUCCACCUCAAUUUUUACUCUGGCAGUGGAUGCUGAAUUUUUUAUUUUUUUUUGAACUUGCACAUCUCUUUUCUGUUCAUCUUUCUCUUUCUUCUUUUUCUUCUUUUGAUUCUUUGCUGAAAAACCAUCAACAAUCUUGUGUUGUUUGAAAAUACUUUCAUAGACUUUGCAAAAUAUUGUAAGGAUUUUUCAUUCAUCAAAACAUCACAUAAAACAUAGGUUUCAAGAUAUGAUUUCUUCACAGAAUAAAUUUGAUUAUUUUUGCCUGUGAAAAUUUUUGGGGUAUUCAAAGAGAGACUGCUGUUUAACAUUUUUUUGGUUUAAAAUAGCCUUAUGCUUUGAAAAUAAGAAUGAAUUGAAAAAGGUAGCCCUGAUGGGUUAAAAUGGAGCUCUGACGAGUUAAAAAGGUAGCUCUUACCAAUUAAAAGGUAGCCCUUGCGGGAUAAAAAUGGUAUGAUAACGCUUUGGAAGAACUCACAGAUCCCGUAAGAUCAAUGAAGCUCUGAUACCAUUAUUUUUUUUUUAAAUGGGGCAGUAAAAAGGGGUUAAAAUAACUCUCUUUGGAUUGAAAUGACUUUCAAGCUUUAAUAAGCUUUCAAUGACUUUUAAUAAUUUCCUUAAGCUUAGGAGGACCUUAACUAACCAAAUUACAAUAACAAACUGCAUGAUUUAAAAUUUAAAAAACCUAAACUAUCUUAACAACUGAACAACCUAAUUUUAAAAUUCAAAAUUCAUUUUAAUCUAAACAACUUAUUUUGCUAAAAACUAAUGCAGUAACUUAAAGCAAUUUCCAAUAAAAUUGAAGUUGGAGUUGGAGUUCUGCUUGACCAUGAAUAUAAAUUAAAGUUGUUUUUGAAAUUUUGUGAGAGAAGUAUGUGUGAAAAAAGUGAAAACAAGUAAAACUUAUUUUCACUUUUCCAAAUACAAUUUCGGAAUUGUAUUUGAAAUUUUCAUAACCAAAUGCAUUUUGUUUUCACCUUUUUCACUAAAGUAAAAUAAUUUUCAUGGCCAAACGGCUACUUAUUCCAUGUGGAGUUUUAUUGUCAAAUGCAGCCCCCAACCAAUUUAGUAAAAGUUCAUUAGGCUAAUGAGGAAAGUUGGAAAUAUUAUAAUACAUGUUUGGUAUCGACUUGAUAGUAUCCAAGAGUGAUGCUAACAUUUCUCCAAAUAAGCUGUUCAUUUUUCUCGUGGGGGUGGAUAAGGGACCAAAUGAAGUCUUGUCUUCCACUUAAAGCUACAAAUGCAAUUCAUAGGGUGUGUUUGGUGUAAAAAGUUAGUUUCCUAAGAGAAUGAUUUUUAAUAUUGCACGGAGUAGUUUCAAAAAAUAAAGAAACUUUUGAAUUUUGUAAUUUUAAAUUAAAGAUAUGUGAAAUCUGAAAUGUAUCAAAAUGUUCUAUAAUUUUAUGAUUUUAAAUAUGUCGAUUUUAAAUUAAAGAUAUGUGAAAUUUGAAAUGUAUCAAAAUGUUCUAUAAUUUUAUGAUUUUAAAUAUGUCAUAUUGCGAGUUGAAAUUAAAAUUUUUCCAAAAAAGGAAAAUGACAUUUUUUGACAUGAGCUAAAAAGAAAAAGUAAGAAAAACAAACUGAAACAAACAUAUUAUUUUGUACAACUAUAGACAUGAAAAAAAUUAAAAACAUACCAUAGAAGCCACUCCCCUCCUUUCUCAGAUAACCUUGUUCCUAAUCUAAUCACUCUUUACAUACAUGAUACAUAUGCAUCUCAACAUCCCUAUCUUCAUAACGUGCAUCUUUUGAAUAUGGGAAUUCUUAACUAACCAAUACUUCACCUCAUCCAACAAAUACAAUUUAACCAGCACUCUAUAAAACUUAUCGUUAAGUAGAGCCGGCUCCUGGGUAAAGCCAAUGAAGCAAUGGCUUUACGCCCCUAAUUUUUUAAGGCCUCAUUUUUGAAUAAUAAUAAUAAUAAAUUUAUAAAUUUAUUUUAAAAUAAAUAAAUAAUAUUUAAACGAAAAAUAAAAGAAAACUACAAAAGAACUUUGAACAAUCGAAGUAAAUGAAAAAUAUUUUAAAUUUUUUAUUUGGUGUAAAAAUUAAGAUCACCGGUGAUGGGAACAUGAAAAAAUUAUUAUAUUAAUCACGAAAGUUUCUUAAAACAUAAUGUUAAUUAGAUAUUAAUAGUUUUGAUUUAUGUUUUAAAUUAAAAGUGUGAAGGACAUUGAUACAAACUCCGUUCCAUAAUAAGUAAAUUGUUGGAGUAUUUUUUAUGGUUCAAAAUAAAUAAAUGGUUCACAAUUCAAGAUAAAUGUUGAAUUUUUUUUCCAAAUUUAUCCUCCAUUAAAUGUACAUUGGGAGUGAUGUAUCAUGUUCUUUGCUUUUUGAGGAGGGUAAAAAUGAAAAAACAUGAUAAAUUUAUGUCUUUGCUUUUUUUUCUUAAUAUGUGUGCUAAAAUUUAAUAAUUAACUUAUUGUGAAAUGGAGAAAAUAAUUUUUUACUAUACGGAAUCAAAUAAAAAAAAUUAAUUAUUUUCACAUGCUUAUAUUUAAGAUCUCUAAAAGUAUUUAAGGUCUCUCAUUAUGAUUCGACUUUAGACCACGAAAUUGGUUGAGCCGCUCCUGACGUUAAGCUUAAAUGGUACGUACCUUUUUGUCACACAAUCUCAAACUCAAGUCAAAGUCCAAACCCCACUAUAUAAACAAACUAUUUAAAAUAAUAAUAUCAAAGAAUUUAGAUAAAAUUUUCAAAAAAUACACAAUCCAAUUUGGUCCCCCUCUUUCUCUUCGCCGUCGCCGGUAUUUUCUAUCUCACAAAUUACUUUGUUUAAGCGUUUAUUAACUAUCAAUUUUGUAGUACUUUUGUUUAACUUUUUGCUCAAUUUUCUUCGUUAUAAUCUGUGUAUAAAAUUUGAGUAUAUGAAAUGAAUUUAAUUUCUGUGUACUUUAAGUAUGCAAAAUAUUCUACACUCUCAAUUUUAGAAAAAAUUGGGUAGCAUGCAAUAACAGUUCAAGUUUACGUGAUAGUGUAGGAUAUUUUGUAAACUCAUGAAAUUUGACAAGGGGAGCGAUGAAGUAACCGGUAACGUUGCUGCAAUGGGACGAGGUGACGGGUUCAAACAACGGAAAUAGCCUCUUGCAGAAAUGCAAGGUAAGACUGCGUACGAUAGACCCUUGUGGUCGGACUUGGGCCUGCUCCUAAAUAUUGCACGUUGCGGGAGCUUUAGUGUAUCGGAUUUCCUUUUAUUUAAUUAAAAAAAAUGAAUAAUUUAAGUUUUGUGCACCGUCUGUGUACAAAAUAUUCUACAUUAUUUGGUAAGGGUGAUCUGCAAUAGCAUGCAACAUGCAAUAGUAGGUUAAGUUUACCUGAUGGGAUAGGGUAUUUUGUUCAGUGACAGUGCACAAAACUUAAAACUCCAAAAUGAAAUGAGCCAUACAGUGCGAGGCAAUUUACGUGUCGAAUAAGUAAAUGCUUGAAAAUGUUUGAUUGACAGUGAUGUGGACUAAGGUGUUGCACACUGAAUUACUGGUGUUUUUGUACUGUUUUUAGCUCAAUCAAAAGGGAAAUUGUUGGAUGUUUGCUUUUCGACUGGUUUAGGGUUGCUUUUGUUGUGUUUUGAAUUCUAUCGUCAUCUGUUGUUUAUGGUGUUCCAUUUGUUGCAUUAAUUUGUUGUUGUUACUGUUUCCUUAUUAGUUGCUAUUUCUUCAUCGUCAUUUUACCAUUUCAUACCUACUUUGCUUUGCGUAUACUCUAUACCCUCCCCCGACUCCAUUUGUGAAUUCAUCGGGUAUGGUGUUGUUGUUGUAUUAGAUAUUUGCUUUUCUGUGUUUGCCGUGUAGUUCUCUUCUUUACUUUUAGGGCUCAAUGUUGUUCCUUUUGCGCUGCGAAUGAUAGGCUAAUGGGGUGAUUCGUAUAAUCCUUAAUGGAUUACAAUGCAUAUUUAUGUUUGUUAUGAGGAAGUAGAAACUAAAAGCAAUUUCAUUGAAUAUUACUCCCUCUGUUUCAAUUUGUUUGUUUGGUUCUGAAUUUUCACGGAGUUUUGGACGGUAAAGAAAGACUUUUGAAUCUUAUGAUCGUAAACUAAAGAUAUGUCAAAUGUAUUAAAAUGUCCUUCAAUCUUGUGCUCUUAAACAUGACAUCUGAAAAGUUGAAAUUAAGAGUUGUCAAAAAAAAAGGAAUGAGACAUUCUAAUGAACUAAAAUGGAAAGUAGGACAAACAAAUUGAAAUGGAGGGAGUAGUGUUGGAAUGGAUUAAGCUCAACUAGAGCGGAAUUGACAUAGAGUAUACAUAUAGCCAACCCGAUAAGUUUUUGAUUGAGGCAUUGUUAUUAUUACUCCGUUUGUUCAGGCACAAAAGUAAUGGCGCUCUUGGCACUUCCCAUAUUCCUUUUUCUUUGUAAUAUUAUGUUUCAAACUGAUUAGUCAUAAAUUCAUUCCCAUCAUCCCAUGUGUGUUGACCUCUGUAUGCUAUCAAUAUGAGAGUUUGCUUAAAAAGCACUGGCUUUUUUCCUGUCGCAGGGAUUCAAGAUGAUUGGAUCUUUUCUCACCAGAGGGCUUGUGUGAGUUUGAAAAAAAUCCCAUUAAAAGUGUUUAAACACUAGUAAUCCUACUUUUUCUAUUGAUGAACAUCCAUAAUCACGCCCUUUCCUUUUCCUCGCGCAGGAUGGUUUUUGGUUAUGCUUAUCCUGCUUACGAGUGCUUUAAGACUAUAGAAAUGAAUAAACCUGAUAUUCAGGAACUUCGCUUUUGGUGCCAGUAUUGGUAUAUUGCAGCAUUUGCUCUUUCGAUUUGUAAAGUAUCUUCUCGUGAAUCUUGGCUGUAACUUCGUCAUUCCUCCUAAUUUUCAGGAUCUUAAUUGCUCUAUUGACAGUUUGUGAAAGGUUCGGUGAUGCUUUUGUUUCAUGGUAAUCAUAAGAAAAUUUUGGCUGUUCAUAGGAACUUGUGUUAAUUCCAUCUUGUGUUAAUGCUCUUGUUAUGCUUUGAAGGGUUCCAAUGUACAGUGAAGCUAAGUUGGCAUUCAUCAUAUAUUUGUGGUGCCCCAAAACUAAGGUAUUCUGCAUAAUAUCCUCUCCUGUUUGAAAGAAAUUUUAAUCUUUGAUUAGUUCCGGUGGCAUCUUUUUCUAAUUAUUUUGUGUUAUCAUAAAAUUGUUGCAGGGAACAACAUAUGUCUACGAUUCCUUCUUUAAACCUGUAGUGUUAAAGCAUGAAAAUGAGAUUGAUCGUAAUUUGUUGGAGUUGAGGACAAGAGCUGGAGAUAUGGCCUUUCUAUACUGGCAGAACUCUGCUAGCUAUGUGCAGACGAGGUUUUUUGAUAUAUUGCAGUAUAUCGCUUCUCAGUCAACUCCUCGUCCAACUCAGGUUUAUCAAUGUUUUUGGGAGCUUAUCUUGCCAUCUCAAGUGUAUUCUAUCUUUGAGUCAUGCACAAAUUUGCUUCUCGAGUUAUGCAAAUGACUGUAAUUUAUUAAAUCAUAUGGUUAGAUUCACAGCUGAGAUCUUAUUUUUCUGAAGUCACAUUUAUUCCAUCUUUUGGGGCUUUGCAGAGUAUAUUAGGUUGUGCUGCAGUUCUUACGAGAUUGUGGGUAGUGAAUGCUGUUACGGACUAAUUCAUACUUAGAGAGAUGGGAAUGGAAGAAUUAGAAAGACUUUUGAAUCUUAUGAUCGUAAACUAAAGAUAUGUCAAAUGUAUUAAAAUGUCCUUCAAUCUUGUGCUCUUAAACAUGACAUCUGAAAAGUUGAAAUUAAGAGUUGUCAAAAAAAAGGGNNNNNNNNNNNNNNNNNNNNNAUUAUAAUGAACUAAAAUGGAAAGUAGGACAAACAAAUUGAAAUGGAGGGAGUAGUGUUGGAAUGGAUUAAGCUCAACUAGAGCGGAAUUGACAUAGAGUAUACAUAUAGCCAACCCGAUAAGUUUUUGAUUGAGGCAUUGUUAUUAUUACUCCGUUUGUUCAGGCACAAAAGUAAUGGCGCUCUUGGCACUUCCCAUAUUCCUUUUUCUUUGUAAUAUUAUGUUUCAAACUGAUUAGUCAUAAAUUCAUUCCCAUCAUCCCAUGUGUGUUGACCUCUGUAUGCUAUCAAUAUGAGAGUUUGCUUAAAAAGCACUGGCUUUUUUCCUGUCGCAGGGAUUCAAGAUGAUUGGAUCUUUUCUCACCAGAGGGCUUGUGUGAGUUUGAAAAAAAUCCCAUUAAAAGUGUUUAAACACUAGUAAUCCUAUUUUUUCUAUUGAUGAACAUCCAUAAUCACGCCCUUUCCUUUUCCUCGCGCAGGAUGGUUUUUGGUUAUGCUUAUCCUGCUUACGAGUGCUUUAAGACUAUAGAAAUGAAUAAACCUGAUAUUCAGGAACUUCGCUUUUGGUGCCAGUAUUGGUAUAUUGCAGCAUUUGCUCUUUCGAUUUGUAAAGUAUCUUCUCGUGAAUCUUGGCUGUAACUUCGUCAUUCCUCCUAAUUUUCAGGAUCUUAAUUGCUCUAUUGACAGUUUGUGAAAGGUUCGGUGAUGCUUUUGUUUCAUGGUAAUCAUAAGAAAAUUUUGGCUGUUCAUAGGAACUUGUGUUAAUUCCAUCUUGUGUUAAUGCUCUUGUUAUGCUUUGAAGGGUUCCAAUGUACAGUGAAGCUAAGUUGGCAUUCAUCAUAUAUUUGUGGUGCCCCAAAACUAAGGUAUUCUGCAUAAUAUCCUCUCCUGUUUGAAAGAAAUUUUAAUCUUUGAUUAGUUCCGGUGGCAUCUUUUUCUAAUUAUUUUGUGUUAUCAUAAAAUUGUUGCAGGGAACAACAUAUGUCUACGAUUCCUUCUUUAAACCUGUAGUGUUAAAGCAUGAAAAUGAGAUUGAUCGUAAUUUGUUGGAGUUGAGGACAAGAGCUGGAGAUAUGGCCUUUCUAUACUGGCAGAACUCUGCUAGCUAUGUGCAGACGAGGUUUUUUGAUAUAUUGCAGUAUAUCGCUUCUCAGUCAACUCCUCGUCCAACUCAGGUUUAUCAAUGUUUUUGGGAGCUUAUCUUGCCAUCUCAAGUGUAUUCUAUCUUUGAGUCAUGCACAAAUUUGCUUCUCGAGUUAUGCAAAUGACUGUAAUUUAUUAAAUCAUAUGGUUAGAUUCACAGCUGAGAUCUUAUUUUUCUGAAGUCACAUUUAUUCCAUCUUUUGGGGCUUUGCAGAGUAUAUUAGGUUGUGCUGCAGUUCUUACGAGAUUGUGGGUAGUGAAUGCUGUUACGGACUAAUUCAUACUUAGAGAGAUGGGAAUGGAAGAAUUAGAAUUUCAGCAGAAAUUUGUCUAUGUUUAUUGCGUGCAUUUUGUUGCCUAUCUAGAAUGACUCUCCCACCUACAAUCUUCUCUCCUAUAUUGAGUUUGUUGAGUUUAAAAUUUCGUUUUUAGAGGGUCAAUUAUGAUCUUUUUCUUGAAAUUGCAGCCACAGAAGCAAAGCAGUAGAGGUCGCCAACGUACUGUAACACCCCCAAAAGAAAGAUCAGCUGCCCCAGCAACAAAGGUGCAGACGGAAAAACAAGCCUCUGCUGCUUCUACUGAAUCUUCAAGUGAAAAUGAAGCAGACACAAAAGAAAAGGUGAAGCCCUCACAACCGCCUCCAGUGGCUGCCCCUGCUUCUGCUUCCUCCUUAAUUGAACAAAAAACAACUCCAACUGAAGCCCUCACCCAAACCACCAAAGCUUCGAGUUCUAGUGAAAUUGAAGUGAUGCAGAUUGAUCAAGUACCUUCCUUGGAUGAUCAAAUUGCAAAACCUCCUGUCGACACAGUCAUGGAGGAAGCAGUUCGAGUAACACGUGCCAGAUCAAGGAGGACAAGGCCUGCACCCAAUCCUUGACUUAGCUUGUGGCAUCCGGUCCUUACACAUGUUAGUUUGAAGGAUCUGUUUAGAUGGUGUGGCUAAAAGGAUAUAUUCUAAGAUGUUGAGUACAUUGUACAUGUCAUAUCUUCUUUCAUUACUGAGGCUGUCUAUGAUUUUUGAGCAUGGAUUGAGAAAUGAGGGGGAGGUUAAUUCAUAGUUCAUCUUGUGGGGGAACUUACCAGCUAGCAGCUGUUCGCCUGUUCCUGCUCUGACGAUGAUCAUGAGCCAACAAAACUUUUAGCUAGCUCCUUAGAUUUUUUCUGUAAAAGCAGAAGCCAGAUACAUAUCGCGCUGUACUUGAAGUAGAACUCAGUUCCGAAUUCUUCAUGCUCUACUAUUUUGUCACCAUUGCUUCCUCUCUCAAGGCUUUUGCUGUAUGUAAAAGAUGGUUUUUCCUUGCUUCAAUUGGGUAGAAGGAUUGUGUUGGGCUAAGAUAUUUUACAUUAUAUGAAGCCUCACUUUCUACCUGGUAGAGGUAAGGUUUGCAUACGUUCUACCUACUCAGGCCCCAAUUUGUUGGAUUAUACUGCUAAUGUAGUUGUACGAAGCCUUCACUAUGUAGCGUAGCCAUCCUUAUUCACGACCCAUACUAGAAAAAUUGCAACGCAUGUAAUGGAACACACAGAAAGGCGUUGGCUGGAGAUUUAUACCUCAAAACUGAUGCUUUAGAGCUUUCUAUUGGCAUCAAUUCAAUCUAAUAUUUAGUGAUCUCUUCCUCUUUUCUAUGUUUGAGAAAUCCUAUUCUGCUUGUCAAUAAUCACCCUGUUCUAAUAUCGAAAUUAUAUGAGACUGUCUAGGGUUUUAACUUAAUUAUUAUUGUAAUAAUUCGAAACAAACCGACAAGUACAACUAGUCCCGACAUUAAGAACAACAACAAAUUCAAUGUAAUUUCACAUGUGAGGUAUGAAAAAGGUCCACAAAUCUUACUCUUACUUUGAGAAGCUAUAUUGUUUCCGAUAAACCCUCGACUGAAUGAUCGAUGAAAAGUUUCGUCAUAAUUACAAAACGUUGAAUUGGAAGGCCAUGCAUGACUGCAUGCAGACGGACAAUUGGUUUUCAUUAAUGAAACUGUAACCAAUUUUAUUCUUCUUUUUAUUUCUCUACUUAAAUAUAUUCUAACAUGUCUAUAUUCGUUGUCAUCGAUGGUCUACCAUGCAACAAGUCAAUUUGCAGACUUGUGAAGCUUACUCAUAAUUUCUUUGUUUUCUCGAGACUCGAAGUACAAAAAUUUUGCUCAAUUUUGUAAUAGAGUUAAUUGAUAUAUAUAUUAAUCGUCACAACAUUAACCCCUCUAAUAUUUUACGAGGAAAAAAUAUAUUAUUUCAUUCAAUAACCAUGCUAGUAAAAUUCAUGAAUAUUUCAGUACUAGCAUGCAUGUCUGCAAUAUUUCACUAACAACAUGCUACCUCUAGUUCACUAUUAUUAGAUGUAGAUAAAAUUUUUCCAUGUUGCUUAAUUGUUCACAAGUUAAAACCACUGAAAUUCCGGCCCAAUAGGCCAUACAUUACACUAUCUUUAAUGUCUGUAGCUUCUUGUAAUAUCUUAAACUCUUGCCCCAUAGAUAAAACUAUUUUUUUCGCAACUAGAACUUCUGAAUUAUAUUGUUAGAGUACGUGCCGUACUAAUCAGUGACUUUAACGUAAAAGUUGUCUAUGACGUAAAAGUUGUCUAUGGAUGAAACGGGUUGCCUGACAUGUUCUAAGAAAGCAGUAAAACAGGAAGUAAAGAACAUAAUGAUUUUUACGUGAAAAACACCCGGCUAAAAAAUGUGUAAAAAAAACAAGACCUGUACCGCUACAUAACUUCACUAAAUAACUGUGAGCCUCAACAACGACAGAUUACAAAACUCUUGCAAUCAACAACUAGGAAUUCUAAACUCUAAUUCCUAUACCUCAAUAACUGGAAUUAUAAACUCUAAUUCCUAUAACUCAAUAACUAGAAUUAUAAACUCUAAUUCCUUUUAACUCAACCAUCAACCUUGACUGUUGAACCCACUUCGAGUUAUCCCAAACUUGAAGUUAACUCAUCUCAGUAUUGUUCCUAAACAAUCAAUCUAGGAAAACAAUAAAUUACAACUCAAUAAGAACAAUACAUUUAAACUGACUCAUGAACUGUAAAGUUUAAUCUCUUGAAACAGGUUCGUCAAUCUGUUCCUUCGUAUUGACAACACUUGAAUCUUCAGUCAGAAUUCUCUCAAUUAUGAACUUUUUCAAUUUGCUCGUGUUUAGCCUUUUCUCUCUCUGUAAGUGCGCAAGUUUUCCUUUGUACGGGCAACACUUGAAUCUUCAGUCAGAAUUCUCUCAAUUAUGAACUUUCUCAAUUUGCUCGUGUUUAGCCUUUUCUCUCUCCGUAAGUGCGCAAGUUACUAUGAAUGAUGCAUCUUCUAUUUAAGCACAACUCUCUAAUGAGUCAAUUCUUUAUUUCAAACUCUUCCUUUAAUCAGAACUUUCAUUGCAUAGAGUUCUACUUCAAGUGAGACUCUUUCUUCAAUUCCAACUCUUGUCUCAUUAGUGUUGUAGUCAAACUCCAACUCUUUAAAUCAUCUUAUCUUCAAGUAUUUUACUCUACCACAACUUCUUCAAUUUCUCAUGUGAUUAGUAACUUGAGUAUAUCAGAAUUUGGCUCGCUCAUUCAUUCCUGACUUUAAGCAAUCUUUGUCUGCAUCUAUCAGUGAAAUCUGAAACCUGUUUUCCUAUGCUUGGACCAACUCAAGUAACAUGGUCCAUUCAUGUGUCAGCCAUCAAAAACUUGAUUGAUCUAACAAAGAGUCCUUCAAUUAGUAUGUUUCCUAUCUUGCGUAGACUUCUUCAAUCACUAGAAUUUUUCUCCUUCUACACAUAGGACUAUUCAGGAUAUGCUCAGAAGUGAAACUCCUUCUUUCCAUAGGACUCCUUUUUCAACUCAAAUUGUUUUUCCUUUAUCAUCAAGUGCUUGAAUCAAAUUCAACUUCUUCA
rnacentral:lncRNA from 1 species